rnacentral:tRNA from 1 species
ACCUGGGUGGCUCAGUCAGUUAAGCAUCUGACUUCGGCUCAGGUCAUGAUCUCACAGUGUGUGGGUUCGAGCCCCACGUCGGGCU